rnacentral:rRNA from 1 species
CCUACGGGUGGCAGCAGUCGAGAAUCAUUCACAAUGGGGGAAACCCUGAUGGUGCGACGCCGCGUGGGGGAAUGAAGGUCUUCGGAUUGUAAACCCCUGUCAUGUGGGAGCAAAUUAAAAAGAUAGUACCACAAGAGGAAGAGACGGCUAACUCUGUGCAAGCAGCCGCGGUAAUACAGAGGUCUCAAGCGUUGUUCGGAAUCACUGGGCGUAAGGCGUGCGUAGGCUGUUUCGUAAGUCGUGUGUGAAAGGCGCGGGCUCAACCCGCGGACGGCACAUGAUACUGCGAGACUAGAGUAAUGGAGGGGGAACCGGAAUUCGCGGUGUAGCAGUGAAAUGCGUAGAUAUCGAGAGGAACACUCGUGGCGAAGGCGGGUUCCUGGACAUUAACUGACGCUGAGGCACGAAGGCCAGGGGAGCGAAAGGGAUUAGAUACCCCAGUAGUC